AGCAUAUCAAUAAGCGGAGGAAAAGAAACCAACAGGGAUUGCCUUAGUAACGGCGAGUGAAGCGGCAAAAGCUCAAAUUUGAAAUCUGGCACUUUCAGUGUCCGAGUUGUAAUUUGAAGAAGGUAACUUUGGAGUUGGCUCUUGUCUAUGUUCCUUGGAACAGGACGUCACAGAGGGUGAGAAUCCCGUGCGAUGAGAUGUCCAACUCUAUGUAAAGUGCUUUCGACGAGUCGAGUUGUUUGGGAAUGCAGCUCUAAGUGGGUGGUAAAUUCCAUCUAAAGCUAAAUAUUGGCGAGAGACCGAUAGCGAACAAGUACAGUGAUGGAAAGAUGAAAAGAACUUUGAAAAGAGAGUGAAAAAGUACGUGAAAUUGUUGAAAGGGAAGGGCUUGAGAUCAGACUUGGUAUUUUGCGAUCCUUUCCUUUUUGGUUGGGUCCUCGCAGCUUACUGGGCCAGCAUCAGUUUGGAUGGUAGGAUAAUAACAUUGGAAUGUGGCUCUGCUUCGGUGGAGUGUUAUAGACUUUGUUGAUACUGCCUAUCUAGACUGAGGACUGCGUCUUGACUAGGAUGUGCAA
rnacentral:rRNA from 1 species